rnacentral:rRNA from 1 species
UACGUAGGGUGCGAGCGUUGUCCGGAAUUAUUGGGCGUAAAGAGCUUGUAGGCGGUCUGUCGCGUCUGCUGUGAAAGUCCGGGGCUCAACUCCGGAUCUGCGGUGGGUACGGGCAGACUAGAGUGAUGUAGGGGAGACGUGGAAUUCCUGGUGUAGCGGUGAAAUGCGCAGAUAUCAGGAGGAACACCGAUGGCGAAGGCAGGUCUCUGGGCAUUAACUGACGCUGGAGGAGCGAAAGCGUGGGGAGCGAACAGG